ensembl:lncRNA
CUCAGCUGCUGCUGGCGUGAGAUCACGGGGGUUUAAAGCUCGUGAGUGCUUGCUAGGUGAGUUGCAAAUGCCUUCAUGUAUGCUGGAGCUUGUGUAGCACUGGUUAGAGAUGCACCUCCUCACCCAUUCAAACUCCUUCCCAGGGCUCAGCCCAGCUCCCAGGGGCAGGUGUUUCUGGUAUUUGGGACAUUUAGGGUGGCCAUAGGGUCCAUGGCUAAAUUUAUAAGGCCAUAGUGUCAUACUGUCUGAUGUCUAAAUGACUGAAAUUCCCAGAUGCUUGCCUGGCAUAGAAAGUUAGCCAAGUGGGAGUCGGGCAUGCUACGGGGUGGUGGUGACAUGUCACUGUUAAUGCAGCAUAUCAUUGCUGUUAAUUGGAUGCCUGGUCUUGGGAGGAGGGUGGUGUAUGAAGUGCUGCAAAGAUGAUAAAUGCUGAACUCUCUCUUUCUGAGACUUCAGUGGAGAAAAUCUUUACCAGAUUCUGAGUGGCACUGACUUUAGCUCAGGUAGGUGUGGAUUACAUUUAGGUCCCUGUGGCCUGGUACUUCAGCCCUGCAGGGAGUGGAGCAGCCCCUUGUUGAACAGCACCUGAAGAGAGCAUAUGCCCACAUUGCCCUUAACAUAGGGAGUGGGUAGACCAGGUUGUAGGAAUGGUGCUCUUAUAGGAGGAGAGUCAGUGACUGCAUGUUAAGGUUCAUGUGUGUCUCUUUUCUCAGGCAUGGGUCUUACCAGUCAUGUGCAUCUGCAGCCUCUUCACAUGUUACCCCUGCCCCCAGAUGGAGUCCGGCCUCAUAUACAGGUGAACUCCUCCUGGGGUAAAUGCCUGUCUCAGGUGAGAUGCCUUGAUCUGGGAAGGGUGCCUGGAGUGAGAGUCUUGGCCAGCUCCUGA